UUGGCAGACAGUACCGAUGAAGGACGUUUGAGGAUGCGAUAAUCCUAGGGGAGCCUCCAACAUGGCUUUGAUCCUAGGGUCUCCGAAUGGGGGAACCCGCCGGCCGUCAUGGGCCGGCACCGCCUAUGGGCGGGGGGUACGCAGGGAAGUGAAACAUCUCAGUACCUGCAGGAAGGGAUACUCCGUGAGUAGUGGCGAGCGAAAGCGGAUCAGACCAAACCGGUUGCGCGUGAUACCCGUCGGGGGUUGCGUUGCCGGUGUUGUGGGAUCACGUGUCCCGGUUCCGACGGGCCGGGCGGGAGUCAUAAAACGGCUUGCCAGGGGAACAGGCUUGAAGGCCUGGCCGUAGAGGGUGCCAGCCCCGUACCUGGACGUGAGCCGUCUUCCGAUCGUGUUGUCCCAAGUAGCGCGGGCCUCGUGGAAUCCCGCGUGAAUCAGCCCAGACCGUUGGGUAAGUCUAAGCAUACCUGUCUGACCGAUAGCGUACCAGUACCGUGAGGGAAAGGUGAAAAGCACCCCGGGAGGGGAGUGAAACAGUUCCUGAAACCGUGCGCCCACAAACCGUCGGAGCCUCUGUGUGGGGUGACGGCGUGCCUAUCGAAAAAUGAGUCUGCGAGUCAGUGGCGGGUGGCGAGCAUAAGCCGUGUGGCGUAUGCGUAGCGAAAGCGAGUCUUAAAAGGCGUUUUUUAGUCGCUUGUCCUGGACCCGAAGCGGGAUGAUCUAGCCCUGGGCAGGUUGAAGCGCGGGUAAGACCGCGUGGAGGACCGAACCCACCUGGGUUGAAAACCGGGGGGAUGACCUGGGGCUAGGGGUGAAAGGCCAAUCAAAUUCCGUGAUAGCUGGUUCUCUCCGAAAUGCAUUUAGGUGCAGCGUCGGUCGAUUGCGUCGCGGGGGUAGAGCUACCGGAUGCUUGCGGGCCCUUGUUGGGUACCAACAGCAGCCGAACUCCGAAUACCGUUGACGUGUAUUCCGGCAGUGAGUCGGCGGGGGAUAAGCUCCGUCGUCGAGAGGGAGACAGCCCAGACCGUCGUCUAAGGUCCCGAAGCGUGUGCUAAGUGGGAAAGGAUGUGGAGUCGCAUAGACAGCCAGGAGGUUGGCUCAGAAGCAGCCAUCCUUGAAAGAGUGCGUAACAGCUCACUGGUCUAGUGGUUCCGCGCCGACAAUGUAGCGGGGCUCAAGCACACCACCGAAGACGCGGCAGCAAUCUUCAUGGUUGCUGGGUAGGAGAGCGUCCUGCGAGGGGCGAAGCGGCCGGGUAACCGUGCCGUGGACUUCGUGGGAGUGAGAAUGCAGACAUGAGUAGCGAGAGACGGGUGAGGAUCCCGUCCGCUGGAUGACCAAGGGUUCCGGGGCCACGUUCGUCGUCCCCGGGUGAGUCGGGUCCUAAGGCGAGGCCGACAGGCGUAGUCGAAUGGAUGAACGGGUGGAUAUUCCCGUACCGACCAUGGACCGGCAAAACCGAGACGGUGAGUACUAACCUCCGCCUCGUGGUGGUUCCUUCCUUCGGGUUGGUGUCGCCGCGUGGUGUUGGGAGCGUAGCCGUAGUAGGUCAGCGCAGGGGUGACACGGAAUGGGAGCCGGCCGCGGAGGUGGUUUUCCGUGGUCAAGCACGCAGCCAGUCAUGUAGGCAAAUCCGCAUGGCAUGCAUGGCGAGGUGUGAUGAUGGGAGCCUUUUGGCUCGAUAUCCGGUUGUCCAGGCCGUCGAGAAAAGCCUCGGCGUGAGGGCCAUGGCCGCCCGUACCCCAAACCGACACUGGUGGUCAGGUAGAGAAUACCAAGGCGAUCGAGCGAAUCCUGGUCAAGGAACUCGGCAAAUCACUCCCGUGCCUUCGGUAUAAGGGAGACCCGCUGGGGUGAACCGGCUAGCCCGGGGAGCUUUGGUGGGUGGCACAGACCAGGGGGUAGCGACUGUUUACCAAAAACACAGGUGCAUGCGAAGGCGAAAGCCGCUGUAUAUGCACUGACGCCUGCCCGGUGCCGGAAGGUUAAGAGGAUCCGUCAGUCCUUCGGGAUGAAGCGGUGAAUUCAAGCCCCGGUAAACGGCGGUGGUAACUAUAACCAUCCUAAGGUAGCGAAAUUCCUUGUCGGGUAAGUUCCGAC
rnacentral:rRNA from 1 species